GAAUAGCCACUUACUUCUCGUCAAACCCCUAAAUCCGAGAGCAACUAAACUGUGACAGCCCAAAACACCUAGCUUUGCCACACCCCCAAGGGUAUUUCAGCAGUGAUAAAAAUUAAGCAAUAAGCAUAAGCUUGACUUAGUUACAGCAAACAGAGUUGGUCAAUCUUGUGCCAGCCACCGCGGUUAUACAAGAAACUCAAAUUAACAAAAAAUCGGCGUAAAAUGUGAAUAAAAUACAAUCUAAAAAAUUAAGGUAAACCCCCACUCAACUGUCAUACGUAAAAGUAUACAUUACCCCAAUAUGAAAAUAACCUUAAUGUGGUAGAAUUAUUUGAACCCACGAUCGCUAAGACACAAACUGGGAUUAGAUACCCCACUAUGCUUGGCCCUAAACUUAGAUAUUUAACGCACAAAAAUAUCCGCCAGAGAACUACGAGCAAAACGCUUAAAACUCUAAGGACUUGGCGGUACCUCAAACCCUCCUAGAGGAGCCUGUUCUAUAAUCGAUAAUCCACGAUCCACCUCACCAUCUCUUGCCAACCCCGCCUAUAUACCACCGUCACCAGCCUACCCCAUGAGGGCCAUAAAAGUAGGCAAAAUAACUAAAAACAGUUAACAAGUCAGGUCAAGGUGUAGCUCAUUGAGAUGGAAGAAAUGGGCUACAUUUUCUAUACUAGAAAUUAAUUCACGGAAAGGAACUAUGAAAUAAGUCUCACAAGUAGGAUUUAGCAGUAAGCUGGGAUCAGAGCGCCCAACUUAAGUCGGUCCUGAGGUGCGCACACACCGCCCGUCACCCUCCUCAAAUAACUCAACAACAUAAAUAAACCUACAACAAACAAACAGAUGAGGCAAGUCGUAACAAGGUAAGUACACCGGAAGGUGUACUUGGAACACC
rnacentral:rRNA from 1 species